rnacentral:lncRNA from 1 species
CACAGAUGGCAUUCUUAAAUGUAAAAUUCUUUUUAUGAUUCUUUCUAUUUCAUAUUUAUUUCAUUAGAUCAUUAUUUAUGUUAAAGAGUCACUAUUAAUCUGAGACGUGCUCAGCUUGAAAGAAAAUGUUGAGAGGAGUUUCAGGGCUGCCUUUCUGGGAAAACUAGAGCUGGAUGUAAAACUCUGACUAUAUGAAGGAAGCAAGAUGAAGAGAAACAGUGAAAAAGGGAGAGAGGAAGGCUUCCCAAAGAUAAGCUGCUACAUAGAUGACUUUUUCAACCCACAAGGCUGAAACAACUUCCCUUUACUGAAAUGACCCCAGCACAGCUAUUCACUAGAAGAUAUCCUCCAUGAUUUCUUAGGGGUCCAUAAGAUGACUGAAGUGGUAGAACAGCAAAGACUUGGAACAGACACUGAGGUCCUAUUGCUCCUGUUGGAAACUUCUGUUAACUGCAUCAUGAGUUGGAUGGGACCCAGAGAAACCAAAUACAGACAAGUAAUGAUGAGUUGGCCAUACAAGCAAGGAAAAUCACAGAUAACAGGAAUGUUUCAGCUACCUGCAGCCUCAUCCGAUGAUGCUUAAUGAACUCAGCUAGCUCGAUCUUCUGUGCACCAGCAGGGACUUCUUUAAAUUGGUAAACUGUAUAGAACAUUGUUUUCAAGUUUAAUGUUCUUGGAAUUAACCUUAUAAAAUAAUGGCGUAUCUAAAGAUAGGUUAUAUACAUAGCACAGACAUGUAUGUAUGCAUUUAUAUGUACAUGUGUUUGUAUAUAUACAUAAGUGCACUCAUACGUAUAGAAAUGCUGAUGUUAUUCACCUUUUCGAAAUCUUUACAGCUAGUCCUAACAUGAAUGUGCUGUUAAAUUUGGCAGUGUUAUACAUUUUUUUGGAGUUUACUUCUGUAAGAUAAAAUCAUAAAGAUAAGCUGUGAAACUCGUGCAGCUGAUGACAUCAUUCUAGAAUCUUGUGAUGCUGAAUCUCAUACUUCUAUGAAUGUAGGAUGGAUGUUCCUUAUAUUAUACUGCAUAUUGCAAUAUAUAUUUCCAUGUUUUUAUGUGGGCACUGAGAUGUCCAAACUAUUAAACAUAUAUGUACAAUGAGUCCUGUGUUCCUUAUUUAUUCUAAAGAAGGCAAUUAAUUUCUAUGAUUUUGUUGUAUAAUAAAGCAAAUUAC